AGCUUUGAGCAAUGGCGAUAUCGUAACCAAUGACGUUCAAUCGAGGUGCGAUUAUUGCUAGUUGAAAACAAAUUAAGAUGCCAAAAACGUAAAAAUAAAUGAAAUUGGACUCAAAAUUCUUUUAAAACCAGUCCUCAGAUUGCGGU